AACGGGUGAGUAAUACAUCGGAACGUGUCCUGGAGUGGGGGAUAGCCCGGCGAAAGCCGGAUUAAUACCGCAUACGCUCUGUGGAGGAAAGCGGGGGAUCUUCGGACCUCGCGCUCAAGGGGCGGCCGAUGGCAGAUUAGCUAGUUGGUGGGGUAAAGGCCUACCAAGGCGACGAUCUGUAGCUGGUCUGAGAGGACGACCAGCCACACUGGGACUGAGACACGGCCCAGACUCCUACGGGAGGCAGCAGUGGGGAAUUUUGGACAAUGGGGGCAACCCUGAUCCAGCAAUGCCGCGUGUGUGAAGAAGGCCUUCGGGUUGUAAAGCACUUUUGUCCGGAAAGAAAACUUCGGAGCUAAUACCUCUGGAGGAUGACGGUACCGGAAGAAUAAGCACCGGCUAACUACGUGCCAGCAGCCGCGGUAAUACGUAGGGUGCGAGCGUUAAUCGGAAUUACUGGGCGUAAAGCGUGCGCAGGCGGUUCGCUAAGACCGAUGUGAAAUCCCCGGGCUUAACCUGGGAACUGCAUUGGUGACUGGCGGGCUAGAGUAUGGCAGAGGGGGGUAGAAUUCCACGUGUAGCAGUGAAAUGCGUAGAGAUGUGGAGGAAUACCGAUGGCGAAGGCAGCCCCCUGGGCCAAUACUGACGCUCA
rnacentral:rRNA from 1 species